GAUAAGAAUGGGCUCUAGGGGUUUGCUGGUAGAGCUGGCUGCAGAAGAGGCCACUGCUCAAAUCUCUAGAUUCUUUGCAACAAUUCUCUACAAAGCUGUCCAGGACCCUGCUUCAUCUCAUCCCCUCCUUAGGUUUUCAUUUUCAUUGUUUUUUUUUUUUUUCUCCCCUUUCCCAACUCAUUUGGACCAAUCCAGAGACACAGCAACAGGAAAAAGAAACAGAGAGCAACAGUGGGCCCAGUGACAGAAUCAUCACCACCCCUAACUCCAAAUAAAAGUCGUCCCCACUUAGCAACGCAGCGCAGCAGAAUAAGGACCCGGAGAGAGGACCGAAGGAGGGGGCACAGCAGAGAGCCUCAGUGGAGAGCAACCGCGUGGCCCCCUGCCCUCCACACCCAGGGAGUCGCCAGGGCGUCCUUGACAGUCACCCUGCCAAAACCUGCCAAAGCAGAAGGCCCAGAGCACAUACCAGCUGGAGGACGAGAGGGAAGGAGGAGGAGAAAAGUCCAUAUUUAUCUGUUUUUCUAACCUCGGCCUGCUUUUAUUUUUUUUCUAUUAAGUACAAUAAAAUGGGAGAGCUUGAAGGGAGUACCACACAAAGCAAUGUUCAGUGAGGUCUAGAAGCGUUCGGCCGGGGAAAACUGACAAGACAGGCUAAUGAACCGUGUAGACAGCGAGAAAAUAGCCAGCGUUUGCUAGAUUUCAAACCCUCACUGUCUGCCUUAGACCACCUAUCUUGGAUUUAUUCCUAAUAAAAUAAGAAAUAAACAGACCUUACACUUUUCUUUUCUUCAAGAUGGGGGGGGGGUGCCCAUGAACAAAGACCUACAAUCAGAGGUGGUCACUGGCAGUUAACACUCCCAUUAUUAUGGAGGGUAAAUAAAAUAAAGACAAAAAUUAAAAGCGACAAGAAACAGGUCAAGUUUGCAGGCGAAGCUUUUACAAGCUCAUCUCUCCAGGUCGAAUCCUAGAGCCAGCCUUAAUGAAGCAAUAAUAGCCACAUUAUUCAAAAAUUUUCAUUUUGAUGGAAAUGUAUCUAAAAGGGACUUAAUCAUAUGCAAAUAAUAAAGGAGGUGGUGGUGACCCAGCAAGC
rnacentral:lncRNA from 1 species